GAUCAGGAAGAUGCCUGAACCAAGGUGUGCUGCUGCGGGCCUCCCUUUCAACCUAUCUAGGAAGGAGGAAACAGUGGGUUGGCAGAGACAGUGAGAAGGGAGAGCUUGGGUCUUGGUAAAGUACAUUAGUGGGUAGGAGACCCUUCCCCAGACCUAUUCUGUGAUCUGGACGCCUCUGUGAGGCCCACGCAUGGUCUUUUCUUCCUUCUGCCCUGUUCCAAGGCCACCUCCAACCUGGGAAAUGAGACUUCUGGCCUAAAGGAAGACGCUGGAAGCCUGGAAAGCUCUGCCUAGGGCUCGUUGCCCUGCUUCUCAAUGAUUCACCCUCCUAGGAAGCUCUGCUAGGUAUCCUCCCCUAUUUCCGUGGUGGCUCCAACUCCCUCCCUGCCAGGGGUCCUCAGGAUGCUGUGAGGGAGUGUCUAGCCAGAAUGAGGGGCACUCAGACCCCCAUUUCAGCACGUUGGGGUAAAGUGUUUCAGCCUGGAGACACGUGAUGACCCCAGCAAGCUGAUCUUGAGAGUGGGUGGCCCAGCAUCUCCGUUAGGCCCUGCAGUCUCCUUCCUGGAUUGUUUUUGAUGCCCUGUGGUUUUUGAAGAGGCCAAUGUGCCUGCCACAGGAGGAAGCUAGGUAAAGCAGUACAAGGCUUCUCUUUUUUUGAGAGUAACAUUGAGAGGUGUCCUCUGGUAUCCAUAUGAUCCAGCAGAUGCCAAACUUGCUUUAUUGCAGAAUCUGAACCUUUAUCCCAGCAGAGACUCCACUUGAAGAAAUCUACAGUCUGCUUGAUAGGCAGUCUUCAUUUUCCCUGUGAUAUGCAACCAAGCCUUUACAUUGCAGGCAACAAUGCUCUUUUCUUGUUCUCUGGUUACAAGAAAUCUCUUUCAGCCAUUUGCCUCCAUGCAAACGCCUCAACUGAGGAAAACAUUGGAAUUUUAUUUGAAGGAGAAUUUGUCCCCAGACCCCCCCCCCACCAGUGGGAGAGUGCCAAAACUCCAGUCACUGCCA